rnacentral:rRNA from 1 species
GAUGAACGCUGGCGGCGUGCCUAAUACAUGCAAGUCGAGCGAACAGACGAGGAGCUUGCUCCUCUGACGUUAGCGGCGGACGGGUGAGUAACACGUGGAUAACCUACCUAUAAGACUGGGAUCACUUCGGGAAACCGGAGCUAAUACCGGAUAAUAUAUUGAACCGCAUGGUUCAAUAGUGAAAGACGGUUUUGCUGUCACUUAUAGAUGGAUCCGCGCCGCAUUAGCUAGUUGUUAAGGUAACGGGUUAUCACGGCAACGAUGCGUAGCCGACCUGAGAGGGUGAUCGGCGACAUGGGAACUGAGACACGGUCCAGACUCCUACGGGAGGCACCAGUAGGGAAUCUUACGCAGUGGGCGAAAGCCUGACGGAGUGACGGCACGUGAGUGAUGAAGGUCUUGGGAGCGUAAAACUCUGUUAUGAGGGAAGAACAGAUGUGUAAGGAACUAUGCACUUCUUGACGGUAACUAAUCAGAAAGCCACGGCUAACUACGUG